rnacentral:rRNA from 1 species
UACAGAGGGGGCAAGCGUUGUUCGGAAUUACUGGGCGUAAAGCGUGCGUAGGUGGUUUGUUAAGUCUGAUGUGAAAGCCCUGGGCUCAACCUGGGAAUUGCAUUGGAUACUGGCAGGCUAGAGUGCGGUAGAGGAUGGCGGAAUUCCCGGUGUAGCAGUGAAAUGCGUAGAGAUCGGGAAGAACGCCGGCGGCGAAAGCGACUCUCUGGUCGGAAUCUGACGCUGAGGCGCGAAAGCCAGGGGAGCGAACGGG